ACAAAACAAACCACUGAUGCAUUUCAACACUUUAUAUUCUCAAGUCCGUCAUAAUUGUGCUUCUUUGAAUGCAAACACACAUACAUACAUACACUCCAUAAAAUAUAUCAGGUGGCUCUUAAUUAAUUACCUGGAGGACUUACUUAAGGUGGCCAGGUAAGGUCUUUCAGCUGGUCCUUCACUGCCAAGGCCAAGGGCACCCCUGUUAGCAUACAUCACAGUCACAUAUCACUGCCACACCCCGGGGUAGAGAGGGGGUGUAGAGGUGGGAGAGGGGUGAUGGGUGAGAGCUGAAGGGUGCUGAGGGAGUGCUGAGGGCUGCUACUGGGUGCUGAGUGAGUGCUGCUGAAGGGUGAUAGAAUAGAGAAGGGCUGUAGAGGGGUGUAAAGGGGUGCUGAGUAGUGUUAAUAGUGCUGAACGAUGCUGAAGUGUGAUGAGGGGUGCUAGUAUAGAGAGGGGCUGUAGAGGGGUGUAAAGGGGUGCUGAGUAGUGUUAAUAGUGGUGAACGAUGCUGAAAGGUGAUGAGGGGUGCUAGUAUAGAGAGGGGCUGUAGAGAGGUGUAAAGGGCUGCUGAGGGGUAUUGAAAUGUGCUGAAGGGUGCUGAGGAAGUGCUGAAGGAUGCUGAGGGAGAAGUGAGGGAUGCUUUAAGGGUGCUGAGUGUUGCUGAGGAAGUGCUGAAGGGUGCUGAGGGAGAAGCAAAGGAUGCUGAGUGUUGCUGAGGGAGUGCUGAAGGGUGGUGAGGUCAGCUUUAAGGGUGCUGAGUGUUGCUGAGGGAGUGCUGAAGGGUGGUGAGGUCAGCUUUAAGGGUGCUGAGUGUUGCUGAGGGAGUGCUGAAGGGUGGUGAGGUCAGCUUUAAGGGUGCUGAGGGAGUGCUGAAGGGGUGUGUGAGGGACUGAGGGUAGCUGAAAGAGUGCUGACAGGUUCUGGGGGCUGAUGAAUAAUAGUAAUAAAGUAUAUGAAAGAAUUUAAGUAAAGUAAAGAUAGCAAGCAGCAGCAAUA